UACGUAGGGGGCAAGCGUUAUCCGGAUUUACUGGGUGUAGGGAGCGUAGACGGCAGGGCAAGUCUGGAGUGAAAGCCCGGGGCUCAACCCCGGGACUGCUUUGGAAACUGCCUGGCUAGAGUGCAGGAGAGGUAAGAGGAAUUCCUAGUGUAGCGGUGAAAUGCGUAGAUAUUAGGAGGAACACCAGUGGCGAAGGCGUCUUACUGGACUGUAACUGACGUUGAGGCUCGAAAGCGUGGGGAGCAAACAG
rnacentral:rRNA from 1 species